CUCUGCCGCUCAACCCCUCUCUAUUCUCUCCCUAUCUUCUUUUUCACGCUCAUAAAACAAAAGGGAAAAGAGAGACCUUUUCCCAAACAGCCCCAAUCGCUCAACCAUCGAACCUACGCCGGAAGCUGCCAUCUAAACCAGAGUAUCCAAGGCCGCCACCUACAGCGUAGAUAACUCUAAAAGGCCCCCAUGGUCGACCACAGUUUAACCAGUGACCCUCUCAAACAAAGCUCCCUCAUCUUCUACCUAUCUCACAACCGAGAACCACAAAGCUUCAACAUCACUGCCUAAACGACCACCAAUCGGAAAAUACAAGCCUCAACCCACGAUCUGACCACCUAUCCUUCAAUCGACGCUGCCAAGGUCUUCCUCCGACGAAGACUCCGUCGUUGAUACACAUGAACAAGGAAACAGAUUGGUGCUGUUGAUUUCGAAAAGAAAUACGAGAGCUCUCCCUUUACUCAUCACCCCGUUACAUUCCCCUCCUUGUUACUGUUUUUAAUGACCGAGCCCAAUGACACAUGCAAGCCCUCCAAGAGAUCCCCAACGCUAAUGACUACGAUAUGGAGUCGACGAGGCUCCCUCGGCGCGCGUAUCUCCUAAGGUCUUGGUUGGCACAAGUUGGGUCAGCAUAGACGCUCGUGGGUGGCAUGGGUGACUGUGGUGAAGUUGCUGCUAUCGGGUCGGGUCUUGUAACCGGGUCUGGAUCCGGGUCUUGUAACCUGUAACAAAAACAAUUAUAUUAAUAAUAAUAAUAUAUAAUAAUAAUAAUAAUAAUAAUAAUAUUAAUAAUAUUUAGGACGAAAAAACGAGUG